GACGAACGCUGGCGGCGUGCCUAAUACAUGCAAGUCGAGCGAUGAAGAUUGGUGCUUGCACCAAUUUGAAGAGCAGCGAACGGGUGAGUAACGCGUGGGGAAUCUGCCUUUGAGCGGGGGACAACAUUUGGAAACGAAUGCUAAUACCGCAUAACAACUUUAAACAUAAGUUUUAAGUUUGAAAGAUGCAAUUGCAUCACUCAAAGAUGAUCCCGCGUUGUAUUAGCUAGCUGGGCAGGUAAAGGCUCACCAAGGCGAUGAUACCUAGCCGACCUGGGAGGGUGGUCGGCCACAUUGGGACUGAGACACGGCCCCAACUCCUAACGGGGGCCGCAGUAGGGGAUCUUCGGCCAUGGACGACAGUCUGACCGAGCCACGCCGCGGGAGUGAAGGAGGUUUUCGGGUCGUAAAACUCUGUUGGUAGAGAAGAACGUUGGUGAGAGUGAAAAGCUCAUCAAGUGACGGUAACUACCCAGAAAGGGACGGCUAACUACGUG
rnacentral:rRNA from 1 species